rnacentral:rRNA from 1 species
UCUGAUGGAGCAAUGCCAUGUGAACGAUGAAGGCCUAUUUGGUCGUAAAGUUCUUUUAGAGGGGAAGACUUUGACGGUACCCUCUGAAUAAGUGACAGCAAACUAUGUGCCAGCAGCUGCGGUAAUACAUAGGUCGCGAGCGUUAUUCGGUUUUAUUGGGCGUAAAGCAAGCGCAGGCGGAUGAACAAGUUCUGUGUUAAAAGCAGCUGCUCAACAGUUGUUUGCACCGAAUACUGUUCGUCUAGAAUGUGGUAGGAAGUUUUGGAAUUAAAUAUGGAGCGGUGGAAUGUGUAGAUAUAUUUAAGAACACCAGAGGCGAAGGCGAAAACUUAGGCCAUCAUUGACGCUUAGGCUUGAAAGUGUGGGUAGCAAAUGGGAUUAGAUACCCCAGUAGUCCACACCGUAAACGAUGGGUAUUGGAUGUCGGGCUUUGUGGCUCGGUGUUGUAGCUUACGUGUUAAAUACCCCGCCUGGGUAGUAUAUAUGCAAAUAUGAAACUCAAAGGAAUUGACGGGGACCUGAACAAGUGGUGGAACAUGUUGCUUAAUUCGAUAAUACACGAAAAACCUUACCAGGGUUUGACAUCCCUUGCGAAACCGUGGAAACACGGCGGAGGUUAUCAAGGUGACAGGUGGUGCAUGGUUGUCGUCAGCUCGUGUCAUGAGAUGUUUGGUUAAGUCCCGCAACGAGCGCAACCCUACCCCUUAGUUGUUUGUCUAAGGAGACUGCACAGUAAUGUAGAGGAAGGAUGGGAUCACGUCAAAUCAUCAUGCCCCUUAUGCCCUGGGCUGCAAACGUGUUACAAUGGUAGAUACAAUAUGUCUGCAAACCAGCGAUGGUAAGCUAAUCAUCAAAAUCUAUCUCAGUCC